rnacentral:rRNA from 1 species
AUUGAACGCUGGCGGCAUGCUUUACACAUGCAAGUCGAACGGUAACAGGGAGCUUGCUCCGCUGACGAGUGGCGAACGGGUGAGUAAUAUAUCGGAACGUACCCAAGAGUGGGGGAUAACGUAGCGAAAGUUACGCUAAUACCGCAUACGAUCUAAGGGUGAAAGCGGGGGAUCGCAAGACCUCGCGCUAUUGGAGCGGC